rnacentral:misc_RNA from 1 species
AGCACUUGUUAUCAUCAUCAAGGAACUUUGUCCUAGCCGAGUAAGAUCCUCUUGCGAAAAUGCCAGACGGGGUAGUCUCUUCUGGCAUCUCAUGUGUAUAUGGCUCAGUUUGAGGACUAAAGGCCCCGAUCAUUUCUUUCAUGCUGUCCACUUUGAUACCAGUUUUCCAAACUGUGUUCGUGUAUUUGAGACCUGUCACUAUAUUAUUGUUGACCUGAAACGUGAAUUUCAGGUGGUAUUUACUCCCUUCUUUCAGGACAAACCAU